ACCCGUAUGUUGGCAGAUUUGUCCUUGGUUGGGUGCUACAACAAGUCGAUGAUGAAGCCAGAGGAGCGGAAUAAGGCAAUGCUUUUGUCAGCUAAGAAUAACCUGAAGAGGAUGGCAUUCUUUGGCUUGACCGAGUAUCAAGAAAUCAGCCAAUAUUUGUUUGAAGAAACAUUCAAUCUUAAGUUUGGAGUUCGCUUUGAACAGCACAACCAGACCAUAUCUGAUUUGGCUCUACAGGACAUUGACUCUGAAACUCUCAAACGUAUUGAAGAGUUAAACAGCUUAGAUGUUCAACUCUACGAGUAUGCGAAAGAACUACUACAACAACGAUUCAAGAAGUUAUCAUCACAAGAUGUUCACUUUAAGGAGCACUUCUUGAAUAUGGGUCGAAAUAAGUUUUCAUGGUCAGAUAUUGAACAAGAGCAAUGAUAAAAUUUUCUUCUGUGAUUACAUAGGAAUUUUGUAUUUUUAUUAAUGUUUGAGUUGAUAACUAGAUGCAUGUGAUAAUAUUUUCUUAUUGGCUUAAUAGCAUUUGUAGAAUGUACAGUAAGCUAUUUGACAUAAACUAAUUUGUAAAGCAAAAGAAAGUUCUUAUUUAUAUAUUGAAAAAUAUUGAAUUCCUUUAUUUAUGUGGGUAUGGGUAUACCCUGUCAGGAAGAGUCUGAUGUUUAUUGAAGUCCUCUUAAUCAAGGACAAGGCAGUGUUCAUACAGUCACUUAUCCAGUUACUGGUCACAUUAAUGGUGCUUACCAUGACUAUCAGAUGUGUACAUCUAAUGUGUAACCCAAGUUUGCUUUAAUGAUGCACUGUACAUACAUGAAUGAACAGAAAGAUAGACGUCGGACUAUCAGUUCAUUGACCGCAGUUCGAUCCCCUCAUCCAUCCUUCCGUUUAUUCAUUGACAGUUGCUUAUUAUAACUUAAUCUGAGUUCAUGUACAUACAUAUUUAAAACUAAUACACAGAGUAGUAGAACACUGGAAUGGGUUACAAGAGAAGGCAGUAAGUGCUACAACUACUGGACACUUGAAAAACAAUGUCAUGAAGACAGGGCACCAUAAGCUUAGCUCUACCUCUCUACCUUGCUACAAAUAAGUAGUGGAAUACCAUAACCUCAGAAUCAGAUUCUUCUCAUAAUCUGAAACUUGAUAGUCGUCCUUAGAAAAUGAUAUUCUUGAAGGGAAAAAUUUAAAUUUCAAGAAAAACAUUUUGGACCCUAAUAUAAUUAUAAAUACAAAAGUCAUUAACACUAGCCAAUAAGCUAUACAUACAUGUAACUCGGGAUGCAAAUGGAGCCUUUGUUCAGAUAAUUUUUGUUCUUAACCCUUUCAUUAUCUUGUAUGUCUGUUAUUUACACCAGGGUUGUUUACGUAGAGUUACAUUUUGAGCUCAGCUUCCUCAAGUAAGCUGUGAGUAGUAUAUUUUGGCCUUUCAGUGCUGCACCACGUGGUGCAUGAUGGGAAAGCAAACCUCUGGCGAUGUGUCUGGUUUACAGUAGCAACUAGGAUAGUUUUUAUGAUUUUCUUAGCUGUUUCUUGGCGCCAUUUGAUAGAAUAGAAGACAUACUACUGAAAUAGUGAUAAUUUUGAUUGGUUUCAGGACCAAAAGUAGUUUGAAAUCAUGCUCAGAGCAAAAAUAUUCAAUUUUUGACAAUUUUCCUGGUCUGUUUUAUGGGAUUUUACUUGGUUUGAUUUAAUUAUUGGGAUGCUGUAAACCAUAACUAAUCAUUUCUGGUUAUAUUUUUAUCUGAGAAUUAUGGUUAUUCGUAGAUUUAUUCAAAAUGUUCAUAAAUCAUAUCCUCAGGAGAAGCCUGAAAAUAUGAUUAUUGAACAGAGGAAGCAUUGCUUAGUGCCUGGAGUGUCUGCAUUGUGCAUUGUCUAUUUUUGACUCAGUUUUUAAAUUGGAAUCUUGUAAUUUUGUGUGAAAUUGGCCAAAUUUUCAACUUCUUUGUUGCUUAUAGGGUAGUUCUAAUAGUUGAAUUAGUGGUUUCUUUUCAUAAAUCAAUAAAAUGGAAGGGAUACUAGGAAAUAGCUAAGAAUUUGGUCGAAUUGAGGAAAGACGUAUGUAUAAAAUAGGAUUCAAAUUGGAUGAAAUCGCUGAUGUGUAAAUUGCAUCUAGACCACUAACUUGCAUCUGCGUAAUUCUGUAAGGUUUCCAUCAAAUUUCAUAUUUUUUGAUGUUAUUACCUUUAGAAAAAGAUUCUGUACCAUUUCAAAAGAAAAUAUAUAUAUUUUUUUUUUAACAUUAUUAAUUUUGGGGCUUCUGACAGUGAAGGUGUUAAUGUUUCUACUUUGUCUAGUACAUACCUGACUCAUAACUCACAUGUUGUCCCUGUAAGUCAUGAGUUAGAUAUGUUCUUAUAAGAGCAUAAGGAAAGAAAUUGGUGCAUAAUUUUUUUUUUUUUCACUCUUCAUUUUUGUCUUAUGAUUUUUUUUUAAUUACCAUACCUUUGAACAAGCCAAAAUUUCAAACUUCUUAUAGCCCUGGUCAAGCUAGAUUUUGUGCCCGACUAUAGUUGCUACUCGUCCACACACGAGCAAGGAAGUCGUGGAAGCAAAUAAGAUACAAGGGUGUUAGGAAAGACUUCUUUAGCCUCAUGAUGGUUGAGGUAUGGAAUUAUUUGCAUGAGGUGAUUAAAAGCCAACACCACAUGCAGUUUUAACGAUAGAUAAGACAGAGUCAGUGAAGCAGGGAACUUGUACUCGGUAAUUUACUGUCACACAGCAGUGCUAGUAGGCAACAGUGAUAAAUUCUUACCUGGGAAACUAAGUAUGAAGCACAAAAAGAACCAGUGGUUUUUUUUACCAGAUCCCUAACAGACGAAAAGGAGUGCAUUGCAAAAAAUAUUAGGUAUGUAUGUAAUGUUAUUGAAAAUAGAAAACCAAAUGUGAGAGCUAAAAAUUAGCACAGUGCAAGAAAUAAAUGGAAGUCAAGGGAAAAACCCACUUAGGUUUAGUGCUAUCCAUGAAUGUACUGUCAUAAUAAAUGAAAUGGAAUUGGACAGGACUUAACUUUUCUCCUGAUGCAGGCCUAAACCAGGUAACAUAGCAACAUUUACAAGACUAACAAAUGUAAGAAAUGCUUUCAGAGACUAAAUAGGAACUCAUUCAUGGCUUUUAUACUAAUGUCAUGCCACUUUUUAGGUGCACAGUACCUGCAUAGUUCACAAAUACGUACUCACAGGGAAGCAGUAAACUACUAGGGAUCGUGCAGUACCUGUGAAAUGGGAUUCAAGAUUUGAUUCUAGGAAUGUAAGUCGGCCAUCUUCCACCAAGGCAGGGUGACCCAAAAAGAAAGAAAAUCCCAAAAAAGAAAAUACUUUCAUCAUUCAACACUUUCACCUCACUCACACAUAAUCACUGUUUUUGCAGAGGUGCCCAGAAUACAACAGUUUAGCAUAUACGUAUAAAAUACGUAUAGAAAUACGCAAUAUAUUCCUCCAAAUUGACAACAAUUUUUAUGUUCUGAUAAUUACAAUUUAUAAUAGUUGUUGUGAUUCACAGCCAAUCUUUGUUCUGACACUAAUAAUAGGUACUGAAAUAGUACUCAAAUAGUUACAAACACACUGACAGGUGAACAUUUUCACUUGCCUUGAUCACAUACUAUUAUCUAGAAAUAUAUACGAAGUAUUUAUAGGUCCCAGCAAUGUUUGAGACAUGCUGGAGUAUAUAUAAAACUCCUUGAUGCAUGGUGUAUUAUUACUGUAAGACGAGUGUCUCUCCAGUGCAGCAGUGGAGCGACACUUGAUGAGCGUGCAGUGCUCCAGAGAACCCUGGCUUUAUUUGUUUUCACUGUUACACACAAACAUGUCUGUUUAGCACUGCUUAUCUGUCUAGCUCUGUUUAUGUCUGUCUAGCUCUGCUUAUCUGUCUGGCUCUGCUUAUCUAUCUAGCUCUGCUUAUCUGUCUGUCUAGCUCUGCUUAUCUGUCUGCCUAGCUCUGCUUAUCUGUCUGCCUAGCUCUUGCUUAUCUAUCUAGGUCUGCUUAUCUAUCUUGCUCUGCUUAUCUGUCUAUCUGGUUCUGCAUUUAGUGCUGCUUAUCUGUCUAUCUAGUUCUGCUUAUCUAUCUAGCUCUGCUUAUCUGUCUAGCUCGGCUUACCUAUCUAGCUCUGCUUAUCUGUCUAGCUCUGCUUAUCUGUCUAGCUCUGCUUAUUUAUCGAGCUCUGCUUAUCUGUCUUUCUGUCUGCCUGUGUGUGUCUAUCUUUCUGUCUGCCUGUAUGUGUCUGUCUGCCUGUGUCUGUCUGUCUUUCUGUCUGCCUGUGUGUGUGUGUGUGUGUGUGUGUGUGUUUGUCUUUCUGUCUGCCUGAAUGUGUCUGUCUUUCAAUCUGCUUGUCUCUGUGUCUCAGAGAGCGGCUUGUAAACAACCAACAGGUAUUACACAUUAUGCAGAGUCGUCACAUCUGAUUCCUUAUCAAGUGAAAAUGUAUAUUACUCGCCAGUCAUGAUUAUUAUGCCUUAUAGCUACAAGCACUGUAUAGCACUUGGAAUUUUUUCGGUUAUCCUAGGUAAUUUGCACUAUGUAUAAUAACUGUACUUAUGUGUACCUGUGAGAGAGAGAUAGAGAAAUAGACAUACAGACAGAGAGACAGCCAGUCAGCCAACCAACCAGCCUGCCGAAUACAUAUUACACAUGUUCCAGAAUCAUUUCUCUUUACUUAGGGCAUAGGUUAUAGGACAUUCUGGCAAGAUGACACUACGGGUGGUAUCAAAAAUGAAAGGGUGUUGCACAAAUGUUGCACAUGGGUUAUUAUUGAGGUUUUUGAUAUUUCCUCAACCACUUGUGGCCACAUCCAUCUCGAAGCCACUAAACUCUGGGUCAACAUCACUUUCCUCUUAAAAGGGGAGUGUUAAUACGACAUGACAUCAGUGACUCCAUGGUGUUUGCCACGCUCUUUGUUCUAUCUGGCGCUCACUUGAAUUGGUGCUCCCACAAGGUACUAAGUGGUCCCAGAUUUCUUUUUAAUACUGAACACACCGAGUGUAAGACCCAUUCUGUACUGACCAGGCAUCUCAGGCCAAUCAUGCCAAAUUUGGAGGCAGGAAAAAUUAUAGAGCUAUGUUUGGAGUGCUAGCGGUACUAAUGUAGAUCAACAUUUGGACAGUUUAAGGGUUAAUACUGUAAUUAUAAGUUCGUUUCAUAUAUAUACAUUUUGUUUCCUUGGUGUUUGUGUAUAAAAUGUGCUAUUUCUUUUAUUUAGUGUAUUUUCUUUGUUUUUGUCCCUCUGCCCAAUUUUCUUAUGACUUGACAGUGCAAACUUAUAACAUGGUAAAUGUUGGUUUAAAUUGUCUCUUUAUUUUUCACUAAUUUCUUUACCUUUUUUUUUUUUCAUUGUAGGUUUACUCGUAUGAGGCUUUCAGUGAUCUUGUAUUAGAGGUAUUGUUUCCAAAUAAAGCAAACAUAUGAAGGUCACAACUAAGUUUGAUUAGGGUUAUUUUGCUGUCCUUUCUCAUCUUCUCUGUUACUGUAUAUAGUAGCUGACUUCAACCCUGGUGACCUAAGUAAAUGGCAGGCACAGGAGGCCCUGCAGAUAAGCAACAACUUAUAUGAGAUUCAGCAGGACAUGGAAGUUUGACCCUCUAAAUUUUUACUAUUAGGCUGUUCUUUUGUCGAUUGAGGAUUGGGGGCAUAUGCCUCAUUUCUGGCUAUCUGCUUGUAGGUGACCUCUGUGCAGCAUGUGGCACACCACUAGCUUUGGCACAUUUUUUUUUCUUCAACAAGAACAAGAACAAGAAGAAGAAGUCAGCCAUCUCCCACCAAGGCAGGGUGACCCAAAAAAAAAAAAAAUCCCCAAACAGAAAAUACUUUCAUCAUUCAACACUUUCACCUCACUCAUACAUAAUCACUGUCUUUGCAGAGGUGCCCAGAUACAACAGUUUAGAACCAUAUAUAAAGAUAUAUAACAUAUCACUCCAAACUGCCAAUAUCCCAAACCCCUCCUUUAAAGUGCAGGCAUUGCCCUUCCCAUUUCCAGUACUUGAGCCCAGCUGUAUAAAAAUCACCAUUUUUUUUUAAAUUUCACUGGUGGAUUAUGCAAAGAAGUCUUCUUUGUGAACAUUCUUAUCAUAACACUCUUUACUUUCCUGACACAGUUUUCACUUACAACUAUUAUUCUUUUUACAAACCAACAACCAUUACUUUCCUUCCUCAACUACCACCUACAACUGUUACCUUCCUUUCACAUCUACUAUUCUUUUCACCAACUUCGCCUUCAACACUAUCUAUUUAUCAUCACCGCGUUUGUUAAACCCUCUCUUUUAAUCACAAACACCAUACCACCUUUUAUCCCAACAACCAUGACUACUACUAUUACUGAAAAUAUCUAUUAAAAUGUAUGGGGGCUUGGGAGCAUUUUUGGUUAAUUAUGUGUACCAAAACUUUUUACAUUAAUAAAAAGUAGUGGCAACAGUUGAUGCUGAAGGGCACCACCUGUAGUUUCCAUUUUUAUGUAAUUUUUUUUUUUAACACAUCGGCUGUCUCCCACUGAGGCAAGGUGACAAGUCUGGCUAACCAGUUUUCCCUGAAUUCCUUCUCAAAAUUACCCUGCUCACCCUCCAACAGCACAUCAGGUCCCAAAAAUCAUUUGUCUUCAUUCAUUCCUAUCUGAUGUGUUCACACAUGCCUGCUGCAUGUCCUGGCCCUAUGCACACACAACCUCAUUUACCCCCUCCCUACAUCCUUUCCUAGGAUGAGCCCUACCCCUCCUCCCCUCCACUACAGAUUUAUAUACCCUCCAAGUCAUUCUAUUUUGCUCAAUCCUCUCUCAGCAACCCCUCUUCAGCCCUCUGAAUAAUACUUUUAGUAACUCCACACCUCUUCCUAAUUUUCAAAUUACAAAUUUUCUGCAUAAUAUUUGCACCAUGACAUGACAUCUCCUCUGCCUCCAGCCUCCUCCUUGCUGUAGCAUUCACAACCCAUGCUUCACACCUAUAUAAGAGUGUUGGUACCACUAUAGUACUCUUGUACAUUACCUUCUUUGCUUCCAUGGAUAACGUUCUGUCUCUCCACAGAUACCUCAGUGCACCACCCACCUUUUUUCCUUCAUCAAUUCUAUGGUUAACCUUGUUCCUCAUAAAUCUAUCUGCUGAGAAGUCUAUUCUCAAAUAUCUGAACACACACUCCUUCCAUACUCCCUCCCUCCAGUGUGAUUUCCAGUUUUUCUUUACCUAACUCAUUUGAUACCCUCAUCACCUUUCUCUUAUCAGUGUUCACUUUCAACUUUCUACCUUUAUACACCCUCCCAAACUCAUCCACUAACCUUUGCAACCUUUUUUUAGAAUCUCCCAGAAGCACAUUAUCAUCAACAAAAAGUAUCUGUGUCAACUCCCAUUUUGUAUUUGAGGGGAUAAGGGAGGUUUUGUGGGAGAGGGGCUUGGACUUUCAGCAAGCAUGUUAGAUAGGAGUGAAUGGAGACAAAUGGUUUUUGGAACCUGAUGAGUUGUUGGAGUGUGAGCAAGGUAAUAUUUUGUGAAGGGAUUCAGGGAAACCAGUUAGCCAGACUUGAGUCCUGGAAGUGGGAAGUACAAUGUCUACACUUUAAACCUUUGACUGUUUUGGUCGUAUAUAUACGUCUUACGCGCCACUGUUUCUGAAGUAUUUCUUUCUUCUUUCAACACACCGGCCGUAUCCCACUGAGGUGGGGUGGCCCAAAAGGAGAAACGAAAGUUUCUUCUUGUACAUUUAGUAAUAUAUACAGGAGAAGGGGUUACUAGCCCCUUUGCUCCCGGCAUUUUAGUCGCCUCUUACAACACGCAUGGCUUACGGAGGAAGAAUUCUGUUCCACUUCCCCAUGGAGAUAAGAGGAAAUAAACAAGAACUAGAAAGAAAAUAGCAGAAAACCCAUAUUUAUGAGACAGACAAAAGACACCAGCAAUCCUACCAUCAUGUAAAACAAUUACAGGCUUUAGUUUUACACUCACUUGGCAGGAUGGUAGUACCUCCCUGGGUGGUUGCUGUCUACCAACCUACUACCUUUAUUUCUGACGUACAUAUUUAUACGCAUAAAUUCUAGCGGCUUCAAAUCAAGCGGGAGAAAGCUGAUAGGCCCACAUGUGAGAGAAUGGGUCUGUGUGAUCAGUGUGCACCACAUAAAAAAAAUCCUGCAGCACGCAUUGCGUAAUGAGAAAAAAAAAAGCUCUGACCAUUUUUUUUGGAUUAAAACGGUGAAUUUGAGGCGUAUUUUCAUAUAGUAUUUAUCGUUGUAUUCUCGUUUUCUUGGUCUCAGGUGAUAAAAUGGAAAACAUAUGACAGAAGUAGAGAUGAUUUUGAUUACUUUCACGAUGAAAAUGACCUUGAAAUUGAGCUCAAAGUAGCGGAAAUGUUCGAUUUUUACCAAUGUUCAGCAGUAAGCAAAUCACACCACACGUCCAGUACACUUUAACUGGGGACUCUGAUAUUCUUUCACUAGUGCACUGAUAUUAUUUAUACCAUUUUUACAAUAAUGUAGUAGUCUGCAUAAGAGUAAAUUUUUUAUUUUUUUUGUAUAAAUAAAAAAUCAAAAUAGAAAGCAAUAGUAAUAUAAGAGGGGCCUAGAGACGUGACUAAUGAACAGAGGAUAUGUUAUUUUAGUGCCAAGAAUGUCUACAUUGUUUAUUCUGGACCCUAUUUUGAAAUUGGCAUUUUUUAAUUUGCGUGAAAUUGGCCAAAUUGCCAAUUUCUGACCACUUUAUUGGGUAGUUCAAAUUGGUAAAUGGGUGGUUUCUUGUACUCAACUGAUAGAAAAAGUGGAGUUCUAAAGAAAUAGCUAUGAGUUUGGUCAACUGGAACAACAGAAUUGGCCAAAAACAGAGCUCAAAGUCAGCGAAAUCACCAAUGCGUAUAUGUCGCCGAGACCUCUAACUUUGCGGGAGCGUAAUUCUGUGAGUUUUUGACCAAAUUUCAUACUUUUGGUGUCAUUACCACCGGGAAAAGAUUCUCUAUCAUUUCAUAAGAAAAAAAAAUUUCCAAAAAUUAUCAACAUAGAAUGACAGUUUCAAAGGUUUAAAGGAGUGGUUUGGGAUAUUGGCUGUUUGGAGUGACAUCUAAACUGUCAUAUCUGAGUGCCUCUGCAAAGACUGAUUAUGUAUGAAUGAUGGUGAAAGUGGUGAAUGAUGAAAGUUUUUUCUUUUUGGGUCUCCCUGCCUCGGUGGCAAAUGUCCGACAUUUCCCACCGAGCAUUGUCUUCUUUUACAACCCCAUCUAUAAAUAUGUUAAACAACCAUGAUGAUGUUACAAAUCCAUCUAAGGCCUACUUUUACUGGAAAAUAAUCUCCCUCUCUCCUACACACCCUAACCUGAGCCUCACUAUCCUCGUAAAAACUCUUUACAGCAUUUAGUAUCUUACAACCUAUUCCACACACUUGCAACAUCUGCCACAUUCCUUUCCUGUGCAUCCUGUCAUAUGCAUUUUUUAAAUCCAAUGCUUGUGUAGUGUCUGAAUGAUAGAAAAUUCUGAUUGAUUGAACUGAGACAUGUCCCAUAUUCCAAAAUUAAUCCAUUUGACUGAAUUUUGAAGUCUGUUUUUUUUCUGUAUGACUAGUUUCAGCCUUUUUCAUAUACCUUGGUUUCCAAGCAUGUUGUGCAGUUUGUAGUCCCAAAGGAUUGAAUGAUGUCAUAUGUAGGUCAAAGAAUUUUUAAAUUGGCUUAUGAGGAAGCCUAAUCUUAGCAACACACGAUGUUUUCUUCCUCCCAUCCCUCUCAUUCUUUGAUCAGAACUUGUCAGGGCAUGGGCAGCUGCAUAAUUUCUGUGAUUUGGGGGGGGACAGGUUUAGUACUAAAUAAUUUACUUGGGGGGGGGACAGGUUUAGUACUAAAUAAUUUACUUGGGGGGGGGGAGGCCUUAGGGGUGGCUAUCUGGAUGGAGACUUGUUUUGACAGUAUUAUUAUUAUUAUCACAGCUUUUAUUGGGGUAGCUUUGGAGGAAGGGAGGUAGAGGAAAUUUGUGGGUGGGAGGUUAGAAGCUCCCAAGCCCUCCCAUAGCAUUGCUUCUGUCGGGGCAUUGCUUUCCGAGAUAUCCGAGGCUACUGAUCAGCUACACACACUAUGAAGAAUUCAGAAACAUUAGGUAACUACAAUAACAAAAUAUUUUAUGACCAGCACAGUAUUAACUGUACUAUACUCUAAAAAUAUUUCUAAAACAAUGUCACAUGUAGGAUUUUCCAUAAUUAUGUCUCCUCAAGGGAGGUUCAUCGAUACUGGUGAGGUGAUUUUUAAUCCAAGGAAUUGGACGUGACCUCACCUUGUUUGGAUAGAACUUGAUUACCUCUCAUUUUUCCAGGCAUUGUGGGACCUAUAUGGGUUUAAUGUCCCCUCCCAUAAAUGUAAUCAUAAUCCAUCCAUCUUUUACAGUAUUUUUGUUGUAUCUACAGAAUAUCCAUACCUGUAAGUAGACUAUUUUUUACACUAGUUGAACAAAUGUUCAUGCUUCUUAAGAAAAGCAUGUACAAAUGCAAUAUAGAUAAUGAACUAUUUUUUAAGUUUAUAUUUAUUUGUUUUAUCAUACUGCUAUAUUAACUCCUGUAUAUCAGGCAGUGCUGUCAUGAUACUUUAAAAAAUAGUAGUCUAUCCUCCUAGUCAUGUACCAGUACAAAAUAAUACUGGAUAUUCUUCAUUACAUUACAUACUUUCUUAGACUUGCAUCUAAAAAAAAUGAGCUGUAUCCUUUGUAAAAAAUAAGUGCAUCUAGGGCUGUUAUUUCACAUCAGGUUUGGAGGUCUUUUUCAUAUCUAAACAUGGGUUCAGUGGUUGAAUUUUUUUUAAAUGUCUUAUUUAACAUUUAUUACACAACUCAUUUUGUAGAGAAAAAUUGUUAAACUCCUUCAUACAAUGUUAAUAAUGCAAAAACUGCAAUCCUGAACCACUUGUGUGUUUCCUCUAAUACAUGAUGCAUAAUACAUUAAUAAAUAUUACCUAAUGAA